GACGUAGGGUGCAAGCGUUGUCCGGAUUUACUGGGCGUAAAGAGCGCGUAGGCGGCUCGUUAAGUGUGAAGCUAAAAUCUCUUGGCUCAACCAAGAACUAUUUCGCAUACUGGCGGGCUGGAGUGAUGCAGAGGUGGAUAGAAUUCCCGGUGUAGCGGUGAAAUGCGUUGAUAUCGGGAGGAAUACCCGUGGCGAAGGCGGUCCACUGGGCAUCAACUGACGCUGAGGCGCGAAAGCGUGGGUAGCAAACAGG
rnacentral:rRNA from 1 species